rnacentral:rRNA from 1 species
AUAAAGUCUAAUCUGCCCACUGAUAUUAAUUUAAUGGCCGCAGUAUUUUAACUGUGCAAAGGUAGCAUAAUCAUUAGUCUUUUAAUUGAAGGCUGGAAUGAAUGAUUGGACGAGAUAUAAGCUGUCUCAUAAAAAUUUUUAUAGAAUUUAAUUUUUUAGUAAAAAAGCUAAAAUUUUUUUAAAAGACGAGAAGACCCUUUAGAUCUUUAUACAAUAAUUUAUUAUUUUUUUUUAGUUUUAUUAUAAAUUAAUAAUUUAUUAUAUUUUGUUGGGGUGACAUUGAAAUUUAAUUAACUUUCAAAAUUUAAAUCCAUUAAUUAAUGAAUUAAUGAUCCUUUAUUAAUGAUUAAAAAUUUAAGUUACCUAAGGGAUAACAGCGUAAUUAUUUUGGAGAGUUCUUAUCGAUAAAAUAGAUUGCGACCUCGAUGUUGGAUUAAGAUUAAUUUUGGGUGUAGUAGUUCAAUAAAUUAAGUCUGUUCGACUUUUAAUUUCUUACAUGAUCG